AGAGUUUGAUCCUGGCUCAGGGUGAACGCUGGCGGCGUGCCUAAGACAUGCAAGUCGAACGGGUUGGUAACAACACCGUGGCGGACGGGUGAGUAACGCGUGGGUGACGUGCCCUGGAGUUGGGGACAACCAAGCGAAAGUUUGGAUAAUCCCCGAUGGUGAUGCAGCUCCUGUGCUGUAUCUAAAGAUUUAUCGCUCCAGGAUCGGCCCGCGUCCUAUCAGGUAGUUGGUGGGGUAACGGCUCACCAAGCCAACGACAGGUAACUGGUCUGAGAGGACGACCAGUCACAGGAGCACUGAGACACGGGCUCCACUCCUACGGGAGGCAGCAGUUAGGAAUAUUCGUCAAUGGGGGAAACCCUGAACGAGCGACGCCGCUUGAAGGACGAAGCCUUUCGGGGUGUAAACUUCUGAACUCGGGACGAUAAUGACGGUACCGAGCUAAUAGCACCGGCUAACUCCGUGCCAGCAGCCGCGGUAGUACGGAGGGUGCGAGCGUUACCCGGAUUUACUGGGCGUAAAGGGCGUGUAGGCGGUUUGUUAAGUCCGAUGUGAAAGACCGGGGCUCAACCCCGGGAACGCGUUGGAUACUGACAGACUAGACGGCUGGAGGGGGUAGCGGAAUUUCCGGAGUAGCGGUGAAAUGCGCAGAUACCGGAAGGAACGCCAAUAGCGAAGGCAGCUACCUAGACAGCACGUGACGCUGAGGCGCGAAAGCAUGGGGAGCAAACCGGAUUAGAUACCCGGGUAGUCCAUGCCCUAAACGAUGAGUGCUGGGUGUCCGGCGUAUGCUGGGUGCCGAAGCUAACGCGUUAAGCACUCCGCCUGGGAAGUACGGUCGCGAGACUGAAACUCAAAGGAAUUGACGGGGCCCCGCACAAGCGGUGGAGCAUGUGGUUUAAUUCGAAGGAACGCGCAGAACCUUACCAGGCCUUGACAUCUGGGGAAUCCCGCUGAAAGGUGGGAGUGUCCGCAAGGAAGCCCCAAGACAGGUGCUGCAUGGCUGUCGUCAGCUCGUGUCGUGAGAUGUUGGGUUAAGUCCCGCAACGAGCGCAACCCCUGUAGUUAGUUGCCAGCAGCUCGGCUGGGCACUCUAGCUAGACUGCCUGCGAAAGCAGGAGGAAGGCGGGGAUGACGUCUAGUCCGCAUGGCCCUUACGGCCUGGGCUACACACGUGCUACAAUGGUUGCUACAGAGCGCUGCAACACGGCGACGUGAAGCCAAUCGCUUAAAAGCAACCUCAGUUCGGAUUGGAGUCUGCAACUCGACUCCAUGAAGCCGGAAUCGCUAGUAAUCGCGAAUCAGCUACGUCGCGGUGAAUACGUUCCCGGGGCUUGUACACACCGCCCGUCAAGCCAUGGGAGUAGGUUUCACCUGAAGUCACUGGGAGCUUAAGGCAGGUGCCGAGGGUGGGGCUUAUGACUGGGGCUAAGUCGUAACAAGGUA
rnacentral:rRNA from 1 species